UGUGUUAUUGUGUGUGUGUUACUGUGUGUUAUUGUGUGUCGGGACGCCGCGGAGCGUGAACAGCAGCUCGUUCAGACUAACCAAUCAGCUGCAGCGAUGUCUGCGGGGGAGGGGAGGAGGUGAAAGGUGACGCUUAGUAAUUGGGGAGGAAACGUUCACAUCCAACCAAACACAACUUUAUUCGCAGCUCUGCCUCGUCUCUUCUGCUGGUUCCAGAGGAACUAUGGGAACCCAGGAGGGACACAAAACCUUCAGGGCCGACCCGCUGCUUGCUGAGAGGAACCGUCUGCAGAGAGACGGAUCCGGGACAUCAAACGGGCCGAAGAGGCGCCCUGGAUCUGAGCAAAGCCGUUGUGAACAGAACCAAGACUAAAGGCUUGGGCUGUUGGUUUGGACCCGGAUGAACAUCUGGGCCCAUAUCGAUGUUAACAUCGCUGCUAGGGAUGACAACUGAUUUUUACUGCUAUUAUAUCUCUCCCACCAUUUCCACGCCGUGAGAAAACGACCACACCACGGUCACAGCCCUCCCAUGGUGCUUUGCAUCACUGUCACAUGACCAAACUACCACCAGGUUGGCCAAUCGCCCGUCCCCAGAAACACAAACGACAACAUAAAGGCUGCGGCUCACGGACCGUCGCCUGAGUUCCAGCCAAUCAGCUGCCGGCUUGGUGAGAGUGGGCGUGGCUCUGAGUUAACGUCCGUGAUGGAAACAUGUCGAUGAUAGUCGCUCAGUGCUUAUGGUCCCAACCUGAGUUCUGCUGAGCUUUUCUGAUAAGUACGACAGCGGAGACGUCUACAUGCAGACAACGUGGGAGGAACGGCUGCUCGGUCAGCUGCUGCUCGGUCAGCUGCUGCUCGGUCAGCUGCUGCUCGGUCAGCUGCUCCAUCGUUACCACUUCAACCCUCUUGUCUGGACUAUUCCAACACACUUAACAUGUAGCAACAAAAAAGCCCGUUCUCCCCUCACAGUUGGGCCAGAACAUGGAGACUAACAGGAACCAACAGCGCCGCUCCCAUCAGUCCAGCUCUGACGGCGGCACAUCGUAAAUAUAUCGGAAUAUUUACCGGCAGUAAGACGUCACCAGACCUGCUGACAUCAGGCAGGCCGCACUUUAACUUCCUCCUGUAAGGUCCAGAUGUUCCUAACAGUUAAAGCCUCGGCUCUCCCCACUAGAACCCACUCUGGAACCCUGGACCGGCUUUAAAGCGGAACCGGAACCUGAACUGUGGAACCAGGUUCUUUUCAGACUCCAGAGACGUUCACUUCAAUAUUCUGUUCUUUAAUAUUUUGAACUUGUUUUUAACAGUGCCAUAGAAAUAAACUUAAGUUUAUCCGAUGAUUUAAUUUGCUUUUUGUCCGUUUAAUUAUGUUUUAAUGUUUGUUCUGUUUAUGAAACAAGUUUUAUCUGUGAAAUAAUCGUUACUUAUCGGUUAGUUAAUUUAUUAUCCAGUUAAUCAGCAACUGGGUUAGUUAUCAGGUUAAUCUGGUUACCAGUUUGGUUGCUU